GAAAAAUGCUUAGUUUUUCGGGCUCAUAACCCGAAGGUCGUAGGUUCAAAUCCUGC
rnacentral:tRNA from 1 species